rnacentral:rRNA from 1 species
UACUUUUAUUUGAGGCCAAUAGAGGGAGACUCCGAUUGGGUGCGGUGGUUACAAGGUUGUGAACGAAGGGGAUGCAAUCCUGUUGCUUUAGUGCUUCCCGUCGUGAAGGAGGUCACUGCACAUGAAGGCGAGGGUGGCUACGAAGGACAGAGCAGUCAGGUAGAAGGAGGAAAUGCUUAUGGUUACGAACAAGAACAGAGCAGUCAGGUAGAAGGAGGAAAUGCUUAUGGUUAUGAACCAGGGCAGAGUAGUCAGGUAGAAGGAGGAAAUGCCGAUGGUGAUUACAAUGGCGAGGUGGAUGCUGACGAGGUAGAUGGGCACAUGCAGAACCAGAUGGAAGAAGAAGACACCGAUGUUGAAAGGGGUCAUGCCGAUGAUUCUGACGAGUCAGAUGAAGAAGAAAAUGCAGAGGAGGUCACGAAUCCUGCAUGGUGGAAUCAUGACUUCUCAUCUGCAAUGACCGUGAAUGAUGGACAUGAUUCAGCCUGGCAAUAUCACCAGAACAAUAUUGCGACGGGUGCUAUGUAUCCGAACAAGCAAGCCCUGAAGGAUGCAAUAAUUAAUUGGGCAAUGUCCACGCAAAGGGUUUUCACAGCUCAGGUGUCCAGUCAGAAAUUCCUGACAAUGGUAUGCAAGAACGCAGAUUGUCCCGCCAGGGUGCACGGCUUUCUCCCUAAGUAUGGCACAAGUUGGGUGAUAAGUGACUUAGUUAAUCACACUUGUCUUAUUCCCUACAUCCCUCAAGAUCAUGCCAACCUUUCAUCCACGCUUAUUGCUCGAUUGUUUUACAAUGAGAUAGUGCAGGGCAAAGCUAUGGAAGUGAAGGCAGUCCAGACAAAAGUCUUCGCCAGGUUCAAGUACAGAAUUUCUUAUGGCAAGGCUUGGAGGGCUAAGCAUGCGGCGCUUGAGAGGAGAUUUGGUUCUUAUUUUGAUGCAUAUGACUCUGUUGUCCACCUCCUCCACACCCUGCAGCAGCGGAAUCCAGGCACCUAUAUCGAUAUCCAAGACAUGUUCAUGCCAGAGUUCCCAACUGUGAGGGUGUUGCAUCGUCUCUUCUUCUAUUUCGGUGUAUGCAUCGAAGCUUUCAAGCAUUGCCGACCGGUGAUAUGUGUUGACGGUACUUUUCUCACAGGCAAGUACAAGGGUCAGAUCCUGACAGCCAUAGGUCAAGACGGCCAAAAUCAAGUCGUCCCACUGGCAUUUGCUUUUGUGGAGAGUGAGAAC